AGUUCAUGGUGGGAGAUUGAAAGAUUGAGUUUUGGUGCUACUUGUAUCGGCGGAUCAUCAGUUUUUGAUUUGCUGCUUCUCGUACAACAUCUCUUCUCUCGAGUGGACAUUUCUCUUUUAUAAAAAUAAAUCUUAAUUUUAUAUAUUCGUAUCGAAAAAGAAACCGGACGUUAAAUGACUUAACCGCGCUAUUUUAAAACGAAAAUAGAAAGAUUUUGAUUCAUCCUAUCGAAACUGCUUGAUACGAAUUACAAAGAUUUAAGUUUAAAAGAAGCAAAAAUCAGCAAAUAUGUCGAAUUUGAUUCAUCAAAUGGUCAACAACUGCAAUGAGCUUUUGGAUACUAAUAAUAAAAAUAAUAAAGAAAUCAUAAUAGAUACAUGGCCCAUGAUGUAUUCCCCAGGUCCUAUAUUAUGCAUCGUAGGCUGCUAUCUAGCAUUCGUUUUGAAAGUUGGACCGAAAAUGAUGGAGAAGAGGUCCCCUUUUCAAUUGAAUUUCUUGUUACUCGCUUACAACGUGAUCCAAGUGAUAUUCAAUAUCUGGUUAUCACUCAAAGCAUUAGAACCCAGUGUGGUAUCAAUUUUAUUAUUACCUAAAUGCCAAAAUCCAACAUCUCUGAAUUUAAAUACGAAAAACACGAUAUCGUCAGCUGCCUGGUGGUAUUUCAUCGCAAAAAUAAUGGAUCUUCUUGACACGGUUUUCUUCAUACUUCGAAAAAAACAGAAUCAAGUGACAUUUCUACAUGUUUACCACCACACAAUAACCUCAAUAUGCUCAUGGUUGUAUGUCAAAUUUCUGCCAGGCCAACAAGGUGCUGUGAUCAUUUUCUUAAAUUCUUUGGUACACGUCAUCAUGUAUACGUAUUAUUUGAUCUCCGCUUUGGGUCCUAAAUACAAAAAAUAUCUUUGGUGGAAGAAAUACAUGACCUGGAUUCAACUGGUGCAAUUUUUCAUAUUACUCGCUUACGAAUUGACAAUUCUCGUUUUGGGUUGCAAAGUGCCAAAAGCUUUGUCGUGUUUUGUUUUGACCAACUUAGUGAUCUUCAUCUAUUUAUUCAGUGACUUUUAUCGAAAAGCUUAUGCGAAACAGAAAGUUUAAUUUUUUUAAAGAAUUAUUGAUUCGUCUUGUUGAUAAAAUGGUAACUGAAUAUACAAUACAUCAUUUAAUGAUAAAAAAGAAAAAAAGUGUUUAUGAAAUAAUGAGAAAAAAAAGAAAAAAAUAGAAAAAAGGAAAAUGGAAUUCAUUAAAAAAAAAAGUGGAACGAAGUUUGUAAUAAGAACAUAAAUACUAAAUAUUGAAGGAGCAGCUGCAGUUAUGAUUCGAGUUUCAACCGUGUUCUAGUCAGUGACAUCCGUUAUUUGGAGAGAGAAUGACAUAAAAGGAGGUUUGUCAGGUGGCCGAAGAAAAAAUAUCUAUAAUGAAGUCUAGAUCAAACUCAAAUCGCUUCUUUACUUUCGAAACAAGAUGGAUUAAAAUUGAGAAAAAAAGUUAUAUAGAAAAAAAAA
rnacentral:misc_RNA from 1 species